AUUGCCACCCCCAGGCCUGAGGGGCCAGGGGAAGAAGGGGGCGCCAGAACCAGCCUCCGGAGCUUCAGGUCCCGGCAUACAUACCUCUUUCUCCCUGUCCCCACAUCCUCUGGCCAGUUGCUGGUUUCUCCUGUUAGUCCAAACCAAGAGGAAGCUGAGGGUCCUGAGAAGUGUGUGGGCGCAGUCCCCAGAGGUCAGCAGCCUGGGGUACAAGACAGGCUGGAAAGGCUCAGCGCGUGGAUGUGGAAGGACAAAUGGAGGAAGGGGAAGUUGCAGAACAUCAAAUAUAUGCAAAACUUCUUCAAAGCUGGAUGUGCCAUCAACAUAUAAGGAAUUAAGAUGAAACUAAGGAAAACUUAAGAGGUACACUCCAGUUGACCCUUGAACAACACGGGAGUUGGUGUCAUCAACCAAUGUGAACACAACUUAAGAGCUGAUCCUCCCAUCACACAGCUCCUUCAUCCAGUGUUUCCCCACCAGGGAUUCAACCAACCCCAGAUCGGGAACUCACUACUAUGUACAGCAAACAAGACCCCUUUGCUGUAAGAGGUGGCCAUUCUUUCUGGCUUUCUCUCACCAGCACUCAG